UACGUGGGAGGCUAGCGUUAUUCAUCAUAAAUAGGUUUAAAGGGUACUCAGAUGGCAAAAAUCAACUUUUAUAAAUAGAAAUGGAUUUGCUAGAGUUUUAUGUAAGGAGGUCGUACCUGUGAGUGGAGAGAUGAAAUUCUUUUAUACCGUAGGGGACUGGAUAAGCGUAAGCAAAUCUCAUUAUGUAAGGACUGACACGAAGGACGAAGGCUUAGCACACGAACAGG
rnacentral:rRNA from 1 species